CCCGGAAGGGGAGUGAAAUAGAACCUGAAACCGUGUGCUUACAAGUAGUCAGAGCCCGUUAAUGGGUGAUGGCGUGCCUUUUGUAGAAUGAACCGGCGAGUUACGAUUUGAUGCAAGGUUAAGCAGUAAAUGUGGAGCCGUAGCGAAAGCGAGUCUGAAUAGGGCGUUUAGUAUUUGGUCGUAGACCCGAAACCAGGUGAUCUACCCUUGGUCAGGUUGAAGUUCAGGUAACACUGAAUGGAGGACCGAACCGACUUACGUUGAAAAGUGAGCGGAUGAACUGAGGGUAGCGGAGAAAUUCCAAUCGAACCUGGAGAUAGCUGGUUCUCUCCGAAAUAGCUUUAGGGCUAGCCUCAAGUGAUGAUUAUUGGAGGUAGAGCACUGUUUGGACGAGGGGCCCCUCUCGGGUUACCGAAUUCAGACAAACUCCGAAUGCCAAUUAAUUUAACUUGGGAGUCAGAACAUGGGUGAUAAGGUCCGUGUUCGAAAGGGAAACAGCCCAGACCACCAGCUAAGGUCCCAAAAUAUAUGUUAAGUGGAAAAGGAUGUGGCGUUGCCCAGACAACUAGGAUGUUGGCUUAGAAGCAGCCAUCAUUUAAAGAGUGCGUAAUAGCUCACUAGUCGAGUGACACUGCGCCGAAAAUGUACCGGGGCUAAACAUAUUACCGAAGCUGUGGAUUGUCCUUUGGACAAUGGUAGGAGAGCGUUCUAAGGGCGUUGAAGCAUGAUCGUAAGGACAUGUGGAGCGCUUAGAAGUGAGAAUGCCGGUGUGAGUAGCGAAAGACGGGUGAGAAUCCCGUCCACCGAUUGACUAAGGUUUCCAGAGGAAGGCUCGUCCGCUCUGGGUUAGUCGGGUCCUAAGCUGAGGCCGACAGGCGUAGGCGAUGGAUAACAGGUUGAUAUUCCUGUACCACCUAUAAUCGUUUUAAUCGAUGGGGGGACGCAGUAGGAUAGGCGAAGCGUGCGAUUGGAUUGCACGUCUAAGCAGUAAGGCUGAGUAUUAGGCAAAUCCGGUACUCGUUAAGGCUGAGCUGUGAUGGGGAGAAGACAUUGUGUCUUCGAGUCGUUGAUUUCACACUGCCGAGAAAAGCCUCUAGAUAGAAAAUAGGUGCCCGUACCGCAAACCGACACAGGUAGUCAAGAUGAGAAUUCUAAGGUGAGCGAGCGAACUCUCGUUAAGGAACUCGGCAAAAUGACCCCGUAACUUCGGGAGAAGGGGUGCUCUUUAGGGUUAACGCCCAGAAGAGCCGCAGUGAAUAGGCCCAAGCGACUGUUUAUCAAAAACACAGGUCUCUGCUAAACCGUAAGGUGAUGUAUAGGGGCUGACGCCUGCCCGGUGCUGGAAGGUUAAGAGGAGUGGUUAGCUUCUGCGAAGCUACGAAUCGAAGCCCCAGUAAACGGCGGCCGUAACUAUAACGGUCCUAAGGUAGCGAAAUUCCUUGUCGGGUAAGUUCCGACCCGCACGAAAGGCGUAACGAUUUGGGCACUGUCUCAACGAGAGACUCGGUGAAAUCAUAGUACCUGUGAAGAUGCAGGUUACCCGCGACAGGACGGAAAGACCCCGUGGAGCUUUACUGUAGCCUGAUAUUGAAAUUCGGCACAGCUUGUACAGGAUAGGUAGGAGCCUUUGAAACGUGAGCGCUAGCUUACGUGGAGGCGCUGGUGGGAUACUACCCUAGCUGUGUUGGCUUUCUAACCCGCACCACUUAUCGUGGUGGGAGACAGUGUCAGGCGGGCAGUUUGACUGGGGCGGUCGCCUCCUAAAAGGUAACGGAGGCGCUCAAAGGUUCCCUCAGAAUGGUUGGAAAUCAUUCAUAGAGUGUAAAGGCAUAAGGGAGCUUGACUGCGAGACCUACAAGUCGAGCAGGGUCGAAAGACGGACUUAGUGAUCCGGUGGUUCCGCAUGGAAGGGCCAUCGCUCAACGGAUAAAAGCUACCCCGGGGAUAACAGGCUUAUCUCCCCCAAGAGUUCACAUCGACGGGGAGGUUUGGCACCUCGAUGUCGGCUCAUCGCAUCCUGGGGCUGUAGUCGGUCCCAAGGGUUGGGCUGUUCGCCCAUUAAAGCGGUACGCGAGCUGGGUUCAGAACGUCGUGAGACAGUUCGGUCCCUAUCCGUCGUGGGCGUAGGAAAUUUGAGAGGAGCUGUCCUUAGUACGAGAGGACCGGGAUGGACAUACCUCUGGUGUACCAGUUGUCGUGCCAACGGCAUAGCUGGGUAGCUAUGUGUGGACGGGAUAAGUGCUGAAAGCAUCUAAGCAUGAAGCCCCCCUCAAGAUGAGAUUUCCCAACUUCGGUUAUAAGAUCCCUCAAAGAUGAUGAGGUUAAUAGGUUCGAGGUGGAAGCAUGGUGACAUGUGGAGCUGACGAAUACUAA
rnacentral:rRNA from 1 species